rnacentral:rRNA from 1 species
GACGAACGCUGGCGGUGUGCUUAACACAUGCAAGUCGAACGGUAAGGCCCUUUCGGGGGUACACGAGUGGCGCACGGGUGAGUAACACGUGAGUAACCUGCCCUCAUCUCUGGGAUAACAGUCGGAAACGGUUGCUAAUACUGGAUAUGAGCCUGCAAGGCAUCUUGUGGGUUGGAAAGAUUUUUUGGUUGGGGAUGGACUCGCGGCCUAUCAGCUUGUUGGUGAGGUAGUGGCUCACCAAGGCUUCGACGGGUAGCCGGCCUGAGAGGGCGACCGGCCACAUUGGGACUGAGAUACGGCCCAAACUCCUACGGGAGGCAGCAGUGGGGAAUAUUGCACAAUGGACGGAAGGCUGAUGCAGCAACGCCGCGUGCGGGAUGACGGCCUUCGGGUUGUAAACCGCUUCCAAUUGUGACGAAGCUUUUUGUGACGGUAGCAGUAGAAGAAGCACCGGCUAACUACGUG